rnacentral:misc_RNA from 1 species
CUUGUAGCUCAGUUGGUUAGAGCGCGCGCUUGAUAAGCGUGAGGUCGGAAGUUCAAGUCUUCCCAGGCCCACCAUUUUGAUCGAGUGCGGAGCAUUCGUCUUCUGGUACGGGGCCAUAGCUCAGCUGGGAGAGCGCGUGCUUUGCAAGCAUGAGGUCGUCGGUUCGAUCCCGUCUGGCUCCACCAGAUGGAAUUGAAGCUCGAUAGCGCCUCGUUCAUUUCGUCCGCGAAACAUCACUUCGCACUCAUUGGUCCGGAUGGACGGUGACGUGCGUGUUUUCUGACAUCGUAAAGAGGAGAUCGAUCCGAGUUUGGAUCAAGCGAAGCAAUUCGCCUGAGCCAUUCAUUAUCUCCGGGAUCAUUUCGGCGCUCGCUUCAAUCGUGAGAUUGGAUGCGGGUUGUAAAUGAUCCCUUUUAGCGAAGCUUGACCGCCUCGCUAUCGGGCCGAUCUUACGAAGCAAGCUGGUCUUUCUAGUCGAUGUCCGGCUGCGCAAUCGCAUUCAUCGAGGAUGCGUGCCUGAGACUUCGGUCUUCGGGCAGUUGUGCAGACAACAUUCUGCCGAGUGUGUGGACAUUGAUAAUGAGAGCAAUCAAGUGCCUUAAGGGUGUUCGGUGGAUGCCUUGGCGCUGAGAGGCGAUGAAGGACGUGCUACGCUGCGAUAAGCCGUGGGGAGCUGCGAAGAAGCUUUGAUCCGCGGAUUU